rnacentral:rRNA from 2 species
UAAGGUGGUUAUAGCGAUGGGGCUCACCUCUUACCAUUCCGAACAGAGAAGUUAAGCCCAUUAGCGCCGAUGGUACUGCAUUUGUGGGAGAGUAGGUCGUUGCCUUUC